AUGCAUGAGAUUGCCACUUCACAGAGAAUUUAUCAAACAUGGACAAACUUAUUUUUAAUCAUCAUGUUGAAAGGAAUUAUUUCAUUACAAAGAACAGAAAACUACAUAUGUGAUAUCAAGAAAAAAAUAAAGGUAGAAAUUACUUCAUCAGAUUUUUUUUGCUACUACCUCAAAGACCUAAAGCAGCACCUCAAAGAAACGAGAAAUUUCAUGAGUAAGGGAAGGAAAGGAACCGGGAGAUCAGAAAACACCAGGAUGAAAGGCUGUGUGAAUAUGGGCAAGAGCCGUGACCUUUCCAAGCCCCAGUUACUCUUUGAAAGGUGGAGAUAAAUAAAAUUAUCUAAUUGAAUGCG
rnacentral:lncRNA from 13 species